rnacentral:rRNA from 1 species
UACGUAGGUGGCAAGCGUUGUCCGGAGUUAUUGGGCGUAAAGCGCGCGCAGGCGGUGCGGUAAGUCUCUGGUGAAAGCGCUCGGCUUAACUGGGCGAGGGCCGGGGAGACUGCCACGCUGGAGGGGAGCAGAGGCGAGUGGAAUUCCGGGUGUAGUGGUGAAAUGCGUAGAGAUCCGGAGGAACACCAGUGGCGAAGGCGGCUCGCUGGGCUCUACCUGACGCUGAGGCGCGAAAGCGUGGGGAGCGAACCGG